rnacentral:rRNA from 1 species
GGGUGCGAUCAUACCAGCACUAAUGCGCCGGAUCCCAUCAGAACUCCGCAGUUAUGCGUGCUUGGGCGAGAGUAGUACUAGGAUGGGUGACUUGGUGAGAAGUACUCUUGUUGCGCCCC